AAACAAGGAAGUUCGACUAAGUUCCACCACGUCCUGUGGUGAACAUCGAACGGCUAACAUCCUGUUAG
rnacentral:sRNA from 1 species